AUGGCCCGACUCCUGAAGAUGGGGGACCUCGUCGUCGUCUGCCCCGAGGGCACCACCUGCCGCGAGCCGUACCUGCUCCGGUUCAGUCCACUUUUCGCGGAGCUCAGCGACGACGUGGUCCCCGUGGGUGUCGCCGUCGAGACGGCCAUGUUCUACCCCACCACGGCGGGGGGGCUCAAGUGCCUCGACCCGUUCUUCUACAUGGUCAACCCGAGGAUGUGCUACACGGUGCAGUUCCUGGAGCGGGUGCGCACGGCGGUGGUCAGGGAGGGGAAGGUGCCGAGCGCCGACAUGGCCAAUCUCGUGCAGAAGAAGAUUGGAGAUGCGCUCGGAUACAGCUGCACUAUGCUCACCAGGAAGGACAAGUACCUCAUGCUGGCCGGCAACGACGGCGUCGUCCGCAAUGUAGACGGCAAGUGCUCGUCUCCUCCAGCGGGGAGGACGAACAACUGA
rnacentral:rRNA from 1 species